rnacentral:rRNA from 1 species
CAGCCGCCGCGAUAAUACCGGCGGCCCGAGUGGCGGUCACUAUUAUUGGGCUUAAAGCGUCCGUAGCCGGGUUGGGAAGUCCUCCGGGAAAUCUGGCCGCUUAACGGUCAGAAUGCCGGAGGAUACUCCCAGCCUAGGGAGCGGGAGAGGCCGAGGGGAUUCCCGGAGUAGGGGGGAAAUCCUAUAAUCCCGGGAGGACCACCUGUGGCGAAGGCGCUCGGCUGGAACGCGUCCGACGGUGAGGGACGAAGGCCAGGGGAGCAAACCGGAUUAGAUACCCGGGUAGUCCUGGCUGUAAACGAUGCGGACUUUGUGUCGGACAAGCUAUGAGCUUGUCCGGUGCCGGAGGGAAACCGUUAAGUCCGCCGCCUGGGGAGUACGGCCGCAAGGCUGAAACUUAAAGGAAUUGGCGGG